CUUCUGCACAAGAUGGCGGCGCCACAAAGCGCAGAGGGCGAAGUGAAACUAGGCCUCCUAGUCUCUCGUGCCACGCAACAUGAUAUGGCAGCGCCGUACAAAUACAUUCUAAAACCAACAGGAUCGCGUGUUUAAAGAUUCCUCAAACGUUGACUUGGGCGUGAUUUAUAAGAGGAAGCGGGGACUCGCAUGGCAAAUUCCAGGGAGGAUCGCCUAGCGGCUUCACUGCCCCCACUCGUCACAGAGCGAGCCCCGCCUUUUCCGCUUGGCGGCUCGGAUGGCAACACAAAGGGAGCUUGAUUUCGAGGUCGCCACUAAGGAACAGUACCAGCCGGAUGAGAUCUGAGGCUUCAGGACAAACCCAUUUCCUCCAGAGGGAAACAGCCACCGAUGAUGUACUUCGCCAACUAAGAGCAAAGGGGAGAAUCUCUCCUUUUGAAUAUUAUUAAAUUUUAAUUUAAUAAUGUAAUAAUAGGUUGCAUUUUAAGCAAUGCAAAUGUAUCACAUACAAUUGUUUUUAAAUAUUAAACAUGUACAGUUUUUUGAAAAGGAUUAUUUUUCCAACAAAAUAAAUAUAUUUCUAAAUA